rnacentral:tRNA from 1 species
CGGGCCGUAGCGCAGAGGUCGACGCACCGCGCUCACACCGCGGAGGACGCCGGUUCGAUUCCGGCCGGUCCGCC